rnacentral:lncRNA from 1 species
UUUGGUUAAGCCAUUAAAUUACCUACUGUAAUUCAUGAUCCAAAGUAUUAUAUAUAAGUAAAAAUAAAAUUAGAGAAGGCACUCUAGGGCAACAAUAUUAAUAAUUGUUCACAUUUUUCUACAUUAAAAUUGCAUAUCUCAUACUAUCAUUUACCAUAAUAUGAUUGAUCUCAGAAAUUUGGCCAAAUUCACCAGUGGACCAAACCCCAUCAGAACCAUUAACACGAGGAUUAGAGAGACAAGAAAGUAUUGAAAUUGGUGCUUGAAGAAUAGCAUAUAUAACUGAAAAACCACUCCAUCCAUGCCCAUGCUGUCUUCUUCCUCUUUCACCUCCAAACAUUGCUACUUCAACCCCCCUAUUCCCUUCUUCAAACAUGUUCUCAUCUGCCACCUUAGAACUCUUCUUCAUCUUAUAAAUAUUAAUCCUUCUCACUGCAGCUACAAGAUGCCACAUCUACAAUUUGAUAAAAUUGAAUUUAGAAGAGACAAUAAUUAUGUAAGUACUACUUACUAGCUUUGAUUAUUUUGAAUGAUAUUUUUCAAUAUAAAGAUAUGAUGAACUUUGAAGAAGAAAUUGAUUAUAUGAUUGAAAGGGUCAACCUCUAUUUAUGAGGGUUAAAUGAUAAUGGUAUUAAGUGGUGGUAUUGCUAGUGCUAGUGUUUAUCACCAAAGUUUUUUAUGGGUAUCUUUUAGUUUAAAGAGCCAACCAACUAUCACUAGCAUAUUUUUUUUAUUCAUUGAUAAUUAUAUGUGGGGUCUAUUCAAGCCCAACAUGCCGACAAACCUACCUAAUAGUACAAAUUAUAGUCUUCAUUUGUCAAAUUAUGGGUUUACAACUUUACAUAAUAGAUUUGCUAUAUACAUAUAGUUAUAUACUGAUUUACUAUUUUACCUAACAAAAGGGUCAAGCUUUUUGAGGUAUAGUUCUGUUCAUUUUGUGGUAUAAAUUAAAGGGUCUCAACAAAUUGAAGCUAAAUGACAAAAAAGCUAGAUAGCUAUAGAUAUUAUCAAAAGUGUGGUAAUUCUAAUCAAUCAUUUGGAUGAGUAACUUUAUCAAGAAAGAAUCAUCAAUUACCCUCCAAUGAUUUUUCUUUGUAUGACAUUGCAUUGCAUUGCAUUGUAUGGUAACAAAUUAUGAUUGUUGAUGCAAAGUUGUAUAGAUUCCCCACAAAUUUAGUCUGUGUUGGGGAAUCAAUGCCGAUACCUAUAUGUGAUGGAGACAUAUGUGGUGGCAUAGAUUAGUACCAUUUCUCCACUAAAGAUUAAGACUCUCAUGGUUAUCUAUUAUCUAUAUUCCUUUCUUGAACCUUGAAGAAAGCCAAGAUACGGAUAGAUAUGCAUAUUAUUUUAAACUAAUAAUUAGAAAAAUCAUGGUAUUGGAUUUUAAACUAACCAAAUAAGUUUUGUAUAAUAUAUCUUAAUAUGGUACAUGAUCUUUGUACUUAGGGGUGGUCCUUGGGGACAACUUGAUGAUGCCAAAGAUCAACUAGCUGGCCAUAGUGGUCCCUCACUAGGAAAUAAGAUAUUUUUUUGGUGAAGGGUAUGGGGCAAAAACCCUAACAAGAAACUAGAUUAGAGAACAUGCAGGAAGGAAACUUGGUUGACAUCGGGAGUUCGAAAUGAAAGUCAGUACUUUAUUAACACAAUAAUGUUAAGUUGAUGCUUUUUUUUUCCUAUUUUUAUUAUACACGCUGUGUGAAAAGAUAUUUUAGUAGUUUCACCUCAUGUGAAAGAGAAUGUUGGAUGAGGUGAUAAGGGUCAUAUGGUCACAUAUCAUAUUUACGUGUGGUGGUAGAAGACGUGUCUAUCACUUCUGGUGGUCAAUAUAUUCACCACUCUAAUUAAAAAAAAUUCAAAGUAAAUUUAACGAAAAUCAAACUCAUGUAAGCAAAUAUUCUAUUUUGAUAAAACAAACUAUCAAAUACUUGAUUAGCUUCCUUGGUACAUGUUUCAUUUGGGGACAACCCAAGAGUGAGCCUUGUGACAAACUUUUCUUUUUGAGGGGAGCCUUGUAACAAUCUAAGUUGAGUAAAUUAAUUGCAAAGAGAGAAUCUGGGUCAUGGCAGAUCAAUAUCGCAUGGGAUAGGGACAAUUGCCCCACAAUAUUUUUAUGUAAAUCAUAAUAAAAUUGUUCGUUGGUGGUUUAGAGCGAGAUCCUAAAGAAUCCUUUAUUUUUUUAUCUUCGAUCGUUAGUUUUUGACCAAUUUGCUCGAAAAGUGUACUUUGGUGGAGUUUUAUUUAUUUUUUCUUUGGAGUUCCCUCUCUUUGGUGUUAAAAGGUUUUGUCUUGGUUUUGUCUAGGUGGCUUUUAGUUGAUUUCUUGGUGCUAAGGGGGUUUGUCCUCUGCAGUCAUUGCUAUUCGCAAAGUGUAAUAUGGAAAUGCAUG